UAUUUAGAACGGUGCUGGUGUGAUGAAUGAAGUUUGAUCAGUGCCUUUCUGAGUAGA
rnacentral:pre_miRNA from 1 species